AAACCAGCACCUCAAGUGGUCAGGAGGAUUAUUGGGCCUAAAGCAUCCGUAGCCUGUUCUAUAAGUUUCCGGUUAAAUCCACUAGCUCAACUAGUGGGCUGCCGAAAAUACUGUAGAACUAGGGAGUGGGAGAGGUAGACGGUAUUCGGUAGGAAGGGGUAAAAUCCUUUGAUCUAUUGAGGACCACCUGUGGCGAAGGCGGUCUACCAGAACACGUUCGACGGUGAGGGAUGAAAGCUGGGGGAGCAAACCGGAUUAGAUACCCGUGUAGUCC
rnacentral:rRNA from 1 species